rnacentral:rRNA from 1 species
UACGUAGGGUGCGAGCGUUAAUCGGAAUUACUGGGCGUAAAGCGUGCGCAGGCGGUUUUGCAAGCCGGAUGUGAAAUCCUCGGGCUCAACCUGGGAAUGGCAUUCGGGACUGCAAGGCUGGAGUGCGGCAGAGGAGACUGGAAUUCCUGGUGUAGCAGUGAAAUGCGUAGAUAUCAGGAGGAAUACCGAUGGCGAAGGCAGGUCUCUGGGCUGACACUGACGCUCAUGCACGAAAGCGUGGGGAGCAAACAGG